UGAAUCAGUACUUAACUUGGACCAGCCAGCUGAGAGCUGGGGUUGAUCCUUUAAAAAUAGCUGCUUUGAAAGAACCAUGGAGAUUUGGAGAGACCCUGUUGUCGGAGGAAAGGGGGAUGGAGCAACAUCCACUUUGAAACAUGCCCAUAAAUUGGCAGUAGCCUUGUUCUCGCAGAGCUCACUCCUGACCCAGUUUGGUCUCUAG
rnacentral:lncRNA from 1 species